UUACCUGAUGACAUUAAACAAAUUAUUUUAUCACGUUUGCCAGCACACCCAAAUAGUCUUGCCAGAGCAAUAAGUGUGUGCAAAAAGUGGAAGAGGUUGAUUGCAAGCAAUUCCUUUAGGAGACUGUUGAUUGAUAAUCAGAAGAGUCCUCCUUUCCUAGGACUUUUCACAAGAAUAGAUGGAAUGUUUAGAUUCCUUGCUGUUGGUCAACAUCCUGAUAUGGUUAGAGCUGAAGUGUUUGAGCAACAUUUGCAAAGUGAAACUGACGAUCCUUUCUUAAACAAUAUGCUAAUCGUUGAUGUUCGUCAUGGCAAGGUACUAUUGCUGUGCACACAAGGUAGGAUUCUCGCAGUCUGGGAUCCUAUGAAUGGAUAA
rnacentral:rRNA from 1 species